GAAGAUGUUUUCAUACUGAAGAAGAGACCUUGGACAAAUACUGAAACCCUCUUGGUGCCCACUACACAGACUAAUGAAAUUGAAGUAUCCAAAUGAAGACCCUAGCAGUAUGGAGUAUAUGGAUACAGACGUUGCCAGCAGUCAGGAGGUGAUCCAGAAGACUCAUGGGAAUCUAUUUGAAGCUGCAUCAUUGAAGACAGUCCAGCAGAAGUUGGAGUUUUAAAGGAUAAAGUUCUUCAGGACCUAUAGCAGUUUACAGUCUGUAAAACCAUGUUACUGGGACUGAUUUAUGGACUGAACUUGAGCAACCCUCCUGAACUCAGGUACACAUUUGGAAUACUGAAGAAGUUAUUUCUGGAGCCACUUCCUGUUCCUGGAAUAAGGUUUGAUUGGUUGCCCAUGAAUGCCAAUUAGAAUUGUAUUUGCUAUUUUGUGUAAUUUUGUAAUGUGGUUUAAACUGUAUUUUACUGUGUGUAAUUAUUUAUUGCUUGUUUAACAAAUACACUUUGAUCAUUUGUGA